GUUCUCAAAUAAUUGUUUAGGCUGUGAGGUGUGUUCACAGAUUUGCUCUUCAUGAGGAAUUGCUGGGCAAGGUCAUUAAUCUGCUGAAGGAGCAGACAAACCACAAAACUAAUUCAGUCCUAUGCAGCAAACUGUGGCCCAUGUGAGUGUUUGAGUAAACCUGUUUCUUGACACAAAGCACAAUUUAAAUUAGAAAGUAUCAAGCAAAUCAUAAGGAUCAUGCAAAAGUUAGGAAACUGUAUCCCGAAAAGAAUGUGUGGCUCACAAUACGUUGUUCCAAAGAAGUGAACAUUUGGAGAGUGUAUUCCUAAACAUGGAUUGUUCAUGUUUCAGUUGAAGCUUUUAGCAGCAUGAUGACAGAAUGUGGAGAAAAGGAGAUCUUCUUUGCAGAAAGAACUUGGCAUUUUUCUGAAAAGAAAGAGUUUAGAGUUUUGGAUACCCAAACCAGGUGCUGAUGAAGGAACAAACGUUGGAAAAUGUGUUUCAUAUGGCAAAGAAACAGACAUUCCAUAUUUUCAUAGACUUAGUUUUACUUAUCAUUGGAAAAGAAUCUCUAAGCACAAACACAGUGAUCAUUCAGCAAGUAGCUGCCAUGGUAAGCGCCGUGCAAAGACGUGAGCUGGUCUCGUUACAGAGGAAUUAGAAGAUGCAAGUAUACCUGACAGAGAUGUAAACAGUGCUGAAGUAGAGAAGUUGAACCUCCGAAUAAGAGAGCUGGAAGAGUCAGAGCAAAAACUGAAAAACAUUUUAGAAGAAUACACGGAAUCAGAUUCUGCAUUAAGAAAUAGGGUUAAAGAGCUGGAACUGUCAAACCAAACACUUCUGGUGACAACUGACCAAUUAAACAUGAAGGUACAUGAGGCUGAAAAUGAAAAUGUGCGGGUUAAAGGGAAGAUGCGUGACACUCGGGA